rnacentral:rRNA from 1 species
GACGAACGCUGGCGGCGUGCCUAAUACAUGCAAGUAGAACGCUGAAGAGAGGAGCUUGCUCUUCUUGGAUGAGUUGCGAACGGGUGAGUAACGCGUAGGUAACCUGCCUUGUAGCGGGGGAUAACUAUUGGAAACGAUAUCUAAUACCGCAUAACAAUGGAUGACACAUGUCAUUUAUUUGAAAGGGGCAAUUGCUCCACUACAAGAUGGACCUGCGGUGUAUUAGCUAGUAGGUGAGGUAAUGGCUCACCUAGGCGACGAUACAUAGCCGACCUGAGAGGGUGAACGGCCACACUGGGAAUGAGACACGGCCCAGACUCCUACGGGAGGCAGCAGUAGGGAAUCUUCGGCAAUGGGGGCAACCCUGAACGAGCAACGCCGCGUGAGUGAAGAAGGUUUUCGGAUCGUAAAGCUCUGUUGUAAGUCAAGAACGGGUGUGAGAGUGGAAAGUUCACACUGUGACGGUAGCUUACCAGAAAGGGACGGCUAACUACGUG